rnacentral:rRNA from 1 species
AUUGAACGCUGGCGGCAUGCCUUACACAUGCAAGUCGAACGGUAACAGGUCUUCGGAUGCUGACGAGUGGCGAACGGGUGAGUAAUACAUCGGAACGUGCCUAGUAGUGGGGGAUAACUACUCGAAAGAGUGGCUAAUACCGCAUGAGAUCUACGGAUGAAAGCAGGGGAUCGCAAGACCUUGUGCUACUAGAGCGGCAGGUGGCAGAUUAGGUAGUUGGUGGGAUAAAAGCUUACCAAGCCGACGACCUUGAGCUGGUCUGAGAGGACGAUCAGCCACACUGGGACUGAGACACGGCCCAGACUCCUACGGGAGGCAGCAGUGGGGAAUUUUGGACAAUGGGCGAAAGCCUGAUCCAGCAAUGCCGCGUGCAGGAUGAAGGCCUUCGGGUUGUAAACUGCUUUUGUACGGAACGAAAAGCCCCGGGUUAAUACCCUGGGGUCAUGACGGUACCGUAAGAAUAAGCACCGGCUAACUACGUGCCAACCGCCGCCGUAA